rnacentral:rRNA from 1 species
AUUGAACGCUGGCGGCAUGCCUUACACAUGCAAGUCGAACGGUAACAGAUCUUCGGAUGCUGACGAGUGGCGAACGGGUGAGUAAUACAUCGGAACGUGCCUAGUAGUGGGGGAUAACUACUCAAAAGAGUGGCUAAUACCGCAUGAGAUCUACGGAUGAAAGCAGGGGAUCGCAAGACCUUGUGCUACUAGAGCGGCCGAUGGCAGAUUAGGUAGUUGGUGGGAUAAAAGCUUACCAAGCCGACGAUCUGUAGCUGGUCUGAGAGGACGAUCAGCCACACUGGGGCUGAGACACGGCCCAGACUCCUACGGGAGGCAGCAGUGGGGAAUUUUGGACAAUGGGCGCAAGCCUGAUCCAGCAAUGCCGCGUGCAGGAUGAAGGCCUUCGGGUUGUAAACUGCUUUUGUACGGAACGAAAAGCCCUGGGUUAAUACCCUGGGGUCAUGACGGUACCGUAAGAAUAAGCACCGGCUAACUACGUGCCAGCCGCCGCAGUAACAC